CACAGGUAUACAAACAAUACAGGCAAAAUAGGUGGUUAAUGGGGCGCUUUAUGCAGAGAUUUUUUGUCAUUACACCACAGCAUCAAAAGAAUUUUAGUUUUGCGUUAAGUUUAGAUGUCCACAGGGGGAUGAAAUGUAGUAAAUUACCACUUGAGCUAAUGGACUGACUGAAACAUGACUCCUUCAUUACUCUUUCAUUAUGAGUGCACAUGUACCCUCCUGCAGUUAACCGGAUCAAAGACACUCUUCACUGCUUCCUGUUAAAACUUUAUGGUGUG